rnacentral:lncRNA from 1 species
GGCCAAUUUGCCGGGGAUUUUUUUCACAGAAGGGCCAAUUUCAAAAAGUGCCGACAGAAUAAAAUUUACUAUAAAAACAUAAAAUAAAAAUGCUUUUUGAUCAAUAUCUCGAUUUACAUAUAUUAUGAUAUAUGUGAUCAAUAGUUAAUUUAACCCUGAAAAAGGAUGAAAGUCCAAUAUGCGGAUUUUCGGGUGUUUUUAGGUGGAAAAAACAGGGAAUCCCCCCAGAAGGACAU